rnacentral:rRNA from 1 species
AACGAACGCUGGCGGCAGGCUUAACACAUGCAAGUCGAACGCCCCGCAAGGGGAGUGGCAGACGGGUGAGUAACGCGUGGGAAUCUACCCAGUUCUACGGAAUAACCCAGGGAAACUUGGGCUAAUACCGUAUACGCCCUACGGGGGAAAGAUUUAUCGGAAUUGGAUGAGCCCGCGUUGGAUUAGCUAGUUGGUGGGGUAAUGGCCUACCAAGGCGACGAUCCAUAGCUGGUCUGAGAGGAUGAUCAGCCACACUGGGACUGAGACACGGCCCAGACACCUACGGGGGGCAGCAGUGGGGAAUAUUGGACAAUGGGCGCAAGCCUGAUCCAGCCAGGCCGCGUGAGGGAUGAAGGCAUUAGGGUUGUAAAGCUCUUUCAGUGGGGACGAUAAUGACGGUACCCACAGAAGAAGCCCCGGCUAACUUCGUGCCAGCCGCCGCCGUAACAC